rnacentral:rRNA from 1 species
GUGUCAGCAGCCGCGGUAAUACGUAGGUGGCAAGCGUUGUCCGGAAUCACUGGGCGUAAAGCGCGCGCAGGCGGCCAUUUAAGUCUGGGGUGAAAGCCCGGAGCUCAACUCCGGGACUGCCUUGGAUACUGGAUGGCUUGAGCAUUGGAGAGGUAAGGGGAAUUCCACGUGUAGCGGUGAAAUGCGUAGAUAUGUGGAGGAACACCAGUGGCGAAGGCGCCUUACUGGCCAAUUGCUGACGCUGAGGCGCGAAAGCGUGGGGAGCAAACAGGAUUAGAUACCCUGGUAGUCCACGCCGUAAACGAUGAGUGCUAGGUGUUGGUGGGGUCCACCCAUCAGUGCCGAAGCUAACGCAUUAAGCACUCCGCCUGGGGAGUACGCUCGCAAGAGUGAA